rnacentral:rRNA from 1 species
UACGUAGGGAGCAAGCGUUGUCCGGAAUCAUUGGGCGUAAAGCGCGCGUAGGCGGGCCUGUAAGUCCGUUGUGAAAGUCAAAGGCUCAACCUUUGAAAGCCGAUGGAUACUGCAGGGCUAGAGUCCGGAAGAGGCGAGUGGAAUUCCUGGUGUAGCGGUGGAAUGCGCAGAUAUCAGGAGGAACACCAAUAGCGAAGGCAGCUCGCUGGGACGGUACUGACGCUAAGGCGCGAAAGCGUGGGGAGCGAACAGG